CACCGAUCUAGAGGGUAUUAAUAGGCCUCAAACUACUGAAGAGGAAAACGAUAUAUGUAUUGUAUGCUUCGGAAAUUACAACGAUGGAAACAAUCUUUGCUCACUCACUUGCGGCCAUAGUUUCCAUUUUGCUUGAUCAAUGGCUUCAUUCAAAAAUAAGUUGUCCGGUAUGUAGAAAAACUAAUCUAUGAUGCCAGUCUAAUUUCUAAUAUCAUUUCUGUCAUAUUCUCUACUUUUGUUUAAUUUAAAAAAAUAAUAUAAAUGAUUUGUCCUCAUUAAUAUACAUUUUUCUUUCUCACUAUUGUUUUCUCAUAAAAAAACAACAACAACUAGCACUUUUAUACAAAACAUACUAUAGCUCAAAAUAUGGCUACAUCAACAACAUACAAAUUACACCGAGAUACAACCACCCUGCGCGUAGCGCGGGCAUGCCACUAGCAAAAUAAUAUAAGUGAUGAUUAUUUAGCGGAUUCGAGAGGAUGCUUGAAUGUGUCAGGAAUGGUUCUCAUAAUUCAUGGAAUUUUUUAUCACGCUUAAACUAUUUCACAAUUCAAAUUGAUUUUCUCUCUUUUCCACUUGAGAUGGAAAAGAUGAUAAAAAAUAGUUAACUCGCGGCCACCCCGGAAGACAAACAUGAAGCAUCAUGUAUUGCGUCUAAUUACAUUCGGAUGGAGACAUUCCACGAUAAUAGAUGUUGAGCCCACGAUCCAGACAAUUAAGGGAUUGUUGAUUACGCAAUAUUACAUCAUUUCGAUAAAUUAACCAAUGGCUACUUUUUUUUACACCAAUUGCUAUUUCAAACUUAAGAAAUUAUGGAUUAAAAAAAACCUAAAUUAAGAAAGAAACCAAAAUCCCUUCUCUCUCUUCCUAUUUCUCUUUGCCCCCUCUCUAAAAAAAAUUAAAUUAAAUUUUUCUGGUUAUUUCACCAAUUCUCCCUAUUAAAAAUAUGUUUAGACAACAAAUACAACGACGACCUUCCGUUGGUUAAUAUCUUUUCUUAUUCGACCAAAACUUUAGUUAAUUAUCUAACGUACGAAUAUGAUUAAAAACAAUUGACUUGGAAAAUAAAAACUAAAUAGAACAUACGGGAAUGCACUGAUGCACAAUUCUGUCGACAUUAUGAACUCGGGUGAACCAGACAUAAAAAAACAGAGAGAUUAAACAAUUAUAACAAAGCUACGAGAUGUUGACUAUAAAUAGAUCACCACACAUAUCGAUAUGCCUUAGAAAGGCUAAGUUUACUGACAAGAAAAACAAAAACAAGUUUAAGAAAAAGCCAAGCAAAACCAAAAGAAAUGGCGAAGAACCUCAGCUCCAUUACCUUCACCGUUCUCUUGCUUGUCUUAUUGAUGGCUUCAAGGAAAUCCUCAAAAUUGAGGCUAUGAAUAUCAAGGCUAGAUGCCUUCCACAGGGAUGCAAAAAUGCUACAUUCUCCGAGGAGUGCGGGCCAGAGCCGUUCACAGGUUCAAAUAACGAUUGCUGUCAUUGUUGCGUAACCAGAUACGGGAGGAAUGCAGUCUGCAAAGGAGUUGUUGAGGGACCAGACAAACACUGUCAUUGCUACAAAGAACGUGUUUGAAACAACCACCUACAAUGACCAAGUAUAAGUGUGUAACUUGUGUGUUUCAUUUGGUGUGAGGACAUUACAUGUUUGUAUGUUUAUGUUCAACAUUCUUUUGUUUCCAAAUAAAAUAUCAAGGGCAAAGCAUAUCACUGCUUUGGUCCCAAAGUGUAAGCUCAUGUUGUGUGCAAUUUUGUUUCAUUCUGAAUAUUCGAUUCUU